rnacentral:pre_miRNA from 14 species
UACAGCGUGUCCCACUAGUGAGGGAAAGUCCAAUAUCUACGUUAAAAUGAUAUUGGACUUUCCCGCACUAGUGGGACACGCUGUAGAAG